rnacentral:ribozyme from 12 species
CCUGUGCCAAAUGAGAGGAACCAGCACAAGAGCAAAUGGCAACAAUAAGCUCCAAGAGCAAGAGUACGCGCACGCACUUCAUUUUAUUUUAUUUUUAUUGUUAUUAUUUUUUCCC